AGAGGGAAGAGAAGGAGGAGAAGGAAGAGGAAGAGAAAGAGGAAAAAGACAUGAUGAUGAUGAUGAAGAGCAAGAAUAUCACCAUAUCAACUGAGACAGGAACCGCAUAGUACAGAGAUACGAUGCCAUA